rnacentral:sRNA from 1 species
AAAUAUAUAUCGAUAGAUACGGAUCGAAGCGGAUAUUCGAUUAUCUUAAAAACAUUAUUUGUUAUUUGCUUCGGUUUUUACGAAUACUACAUUUUUCUAUUUGAUUUGGUCCAAAAUCUUACGGAUAUUCGAAUUUUUCGAAUCAAAUCAAAUCGAAUACCGAAUCGAAGCGGAUCGAACGAAUAUUUUGUCCAGCCCUCAUUAAUGUCUAAAUGUUAUAAUGGGAAAUCAAAAUUAACUCAAAUUUGGAAGAGAUCAAAUAUGUUUU